AUGGAGGAGACAGGCCUCCUGACGGGACCAGGGAGAAGGCAGCCAGGGCGCCGCCCCCGGCAGCAGGCAUGGCCCGAGUGUGUCUCUUCUCCCGUGGCCACGCCCCUCGGAGCACCGUGGACUGGAAGACUGGCUGGAAGGAGGGGCCCAGGGCUCCUGAGCCCCUGUUCCCACCUCUGCCACGGGAGCGCCCCCGGCCCAGGGACAAUGGCAUUUCCUGUUGGUUGGAGCGCAGAGGCCAGGGCCUGUGCCCUGGGAAGCCCUGGUGCUCAGGGCCACUGCUUUCCCCUGGCUCUGCAGGCACAGGAAUCGGAGGCCGGGAGGGCGGGGGCUUCCGGGGGUCAGCCAGGGCGGAGGCGGGGGCCCGGCCAGCCUCCAGAGGCCUCCUUUCACGCCUGUCCACUGCUAGGACAGCUCUGCCCCAGGCCUGCACCUGCACCUGCGGCAUGGACAGGUGGGCGGAGCCCCUGCCUGAGAAGUGAGCCGGGCCCACUUGAGGACAGGGCGCCCGUGGGGUCCCCGAGGCCCAGGACAGCCCCACCGCCUGGGCUCCGCGCUGCGCCUUGCUCAAGUUCGGAGGGCGUAGUGAGAACACGUUCCGCCGGAGUCCAGCUUGCAGAGCUGACGCAGGAGCAAACCAUCAGAGAAGAGAAGGCGCGAACCUGCCUGGAGCUGCUUCCAACGAUGGGUGCUCCCAGGAGGGCCUGCGGGGCCAGCGAGUCCUGCCGUGGCCCCUGUGGGCUGUGUCGAAGGCUGCCUCUUCCAGGAAGCUCUCCUGCCCUCCUCCACGCUCACCUGGUCCAGGCCGUGGGUGAGCCCAGCAGGAAGGGGGGGUGUGGACUUGCUUCCCUGCCUCGCGUGGGCAGCCUCAGCCUGGGCGUCCCCUCCAGCACUGCAGGGCGCCCAGGCGUCCCCGGCGGGCUUGAGUGUGCUCUGUGUGUGGCCCGGAGCCACCAGCAUGGCCACUACCUAUUGGCCAGGAAGCUGCCCAGCCUGGCCUCCACGCCUCGGCCCCCUGUGCUGAGGCCCCUGCAGGACACUGGGCCGGGUGCCUCCUGCUUGGGGCUGACGGAGGCAACAGCCACCUUCUCCUCUCCCGCUUCCUCCUCCCCUGCCUGCUUGCUCGCCGGGUCCUGGGCACCAAGGGGAAGUGACCUGGCUGUGAGGGCGGGCACAGUGUGUGAGUGGCAUGUGUUCCCCAGGCAGGCACUCGCCCCCAGCUGCCAAGGAGCCUUCCUCCAUUCUCCCUGCAGGGGGCGCCCUGCCCAGGCGUGGGGAGACCUGAGCGUUCCCCAGCAAACGGGGCCUGCCCUGCCAUCGCCCCUGCUCUGCUCUGCCAGGCUGGGCCUGUGCCCCCACCGCCGCCUCCUCCUGGCCUGUGCUGGGCGCUGA
rnacentral:lncRNA from 1 species